rnacentral:lncRNA from 1 species
GUUCUGGUCAGCAGGUCACCUCCCGGCCUUCCUUGCUCGUGAAGUCUGUUGGCCCUCCAGGGGCUGCUGGCCAUGUUGGGACAGGCUCAACUCCCUGUUCUUACUGAAGGAAAAACAAGCACAUCCAUUUUGAUCUGCUUCGCACACUGGCUUCCACUCAAAUGCAGAAAGGGCUGAGGGGGGCCACAGUCCCACUAAGCUCCAGCCCCAGAGCGUACAGACCCUGGAGUUGAGCUGGGAGGGCCAGGCCAGGCCCUGGAGGGCAGGUGAGGGGGUGCAGGUGCUCCUUCUGUCUCUGAAGCUCCUGCUUGUGGUGGGGCUGGGGAGGCCGGCCAGCCUACUCUGCUGCUUCUGUCUCCCUCAGGCACAGCCUGCAUCAGGCCAGGCACCCCAGCAGCGUGGACUGGGGUGACACCCACCUGCUGCCUAGCGACCCGGCUCCCUGACCAGCACCUGCCCUUCCUCGAGGCCCACCAAGGCCCCCAAAUGGGCCAUGGGCCACCUAGACCAGUGCCGGCCAUGGCCUCUGCUUGACCAUGACACCUCGUAAGAAUUGGUCUUUAGAAGUUAGAUUUGCCCUAGAUGUCCAUCAACCUCACAAUGACAAAAUGAAGUGUGGCUUCAUGGAGAAUGCUUAGUAGUGAAAAGGAAGGAGUUCAGAACACUGAGCAGGUAAAACAAAUUCCAGAGCCAAAAGAGUCCAAAGUACCUGCACACACAAAAACUGGCCUUGUUCUCAGGUGUAGGGGCAGAGGUGCAUCCAGUUACAGGUAUUAAAUGGUGUGGGUGGACCCACGCUCCCCUCCCUGGGCAGGACAGUAGUGGCCAGAGAGCUUUCCAUUUCUGUGGCACAUGCUGGACUUUUGAAAAGAAGAGAUCGCCAGUUUAAUGAAGCUGACUUUAGUAAUGCAUUUUCCCUGCUUUACUGACUGUGGCAUCUGCUCAUCUUUGUCCGGUCUCUUGGUCAACAAUUCCCCACUGUCCAGGAUCACCAGAGAAUGCUCCUCCCAAGGACUUGACCAAGCUCAGACCCUUUAGCUGGGCAGUCCUAGGAAUGAGUCCCGAGGCAAGGAUGGGCCCAGUGAAGCCCUGUUUCUAUCAGUGAGGAGUUGGGAAAUGUCCAAGAAGGGGGCCACAAGUCACUCAUUCGAAGUGCCAUCGAAGAAUAUUCAGCAACACAGA